rnacentral:lncRNA from 1 species
AUUUUUCUACCUCUUGUCGCAUAUAUUUCAUUUAAAAUUCGAAUUUAAAUUAUUCAGAGGUUCACACGCCAGCUAGGAAAGUUAUUUGAUGUAUGAAAUCAUUUAAUAUAUUGCUUAAUGUUUGAAUUCAAAUUCAAACAACAAACAAUGUCGCCAUGCGUCAAGCAAUGGGUCCAUGCGCCAUGCAAUAAUUUUGGUUUAUUUAAAAUUCAUGAAAU